GGGGGCCCCAGGCCUGGACGCAGUGCUCCACAUGGGGCCUCACAAGAGCCGAGUAGAGCGGGACAAUCCCCUCCCUCUCCCUCCUGGCCACCCCCAGGGACCUAAAGCCUCAGCCCCAGCUAGAGAGGCCAGCACUGACCCCAGGGCCUGAAGCCACAGCCUGACAGGCUGGAACCAGUCCCCGGAGUUCAAGCUGUGUCUAAAGACACAGCCCCACCCUGAGUGGCCAGCACUGGCCCCGGGGCACACAGGGGUGCAUUCCAAUUGGUUUCUACUGAUUCCUAUUGGUCUCUAUUCACCCCUAUCAGUCCUUGCUGGUCUUUUCCAGACGCUGAUGCAUUCCUUUCACAAAAACGAGGUCCGACGACCCACUCGUUUUCGGGUUUGUUGCCCGUUUGUAAAAUAUUUUAUGACGUAUACAUAUCAAUCUACGUCUCUUUUUCCAUCUCCCGAGUCACGCCUCCCCUGGUCAGCAAAGGGUCACUGCCGCAAUGGAGUCAUCCAAACUCAGAGGAAUAGUACACAUCCAUUUAUUGACAGCGUUCUUAACAACUGACAACAGCCCAUUGGAGGUAACGUUGCCUAAUGGGCUAAUUACAAUUCAUAAGCCUUCGAGGUAACCAGCUGUAGGAAAUGGGUGCUACGAAGACUCAAAGAAUCCAAGAAGCCACGUCCUGGUGUCAGGUGCAGAUCUUCAGCCUGAUGGGUCGUCGGAGGUGGUGGUGUUCAGCUGACGACUCACGACGACAGUACAACUUAUUUGCGCUGUCUUUCCUGGCGCAGCACCUGGCAGACAAAAGCGUGAGUGCCCAUGCCUGCUGCAGUUGCCCUCCAGGUCCCCACCUGGGGUCAGGCAGCCCCCAUCCCCUCGCCCCUCCACGCUACCUCGAUCUCCUCUGUCUCAGCCUUCAGCUGAUCUUCCAGCUGGGCAAUGAACUGCUUCUCCUGCAAAGACAAUGGCUGUGCCAUGUGGGGUGGCUGCGCUGGGCCCCACGGACCCGAGGGAUGGGGACCAAGGUCCUCCCACAGAGCCAAAGCUGUGAGUGCACUGAGCUCUGAGGACGAGCCCCAGCUCCACCCUACCUGCUCCAGAUCCUCCUUCCUGGCAGCUGUUCUUUCUGCCCGUAUUUGCUGGGCAUCCUGCAGGAAAGGGGAAGGGGAGCGGCCAUCAGGGCACCGACGCUCUCACGAAGCUCCAUCUGACAGCAGCUCCAUGCCACACUCCCCUCCUGCCUCCUCCAUGGAGGAGCUGCAGACCCACACGAGGGGACAUCUGCUCACCUUCAUCAAGGAUUCCCUGGCCUCAGCCUUGCGCUUCUCCACGGCGCGCUCAUGAGCCUGUGGGAGGGGAGAGGAGCGGCGUUGGCACCGAGGUGCUGCCAACAGCUUUGCAUCCCGCCGGAGGUGCCCGGCCCUCUGCUGCCAUGCCAUGGGCAGGGUGCCCUCCAGCCGGCAGCUCGCCCCGCUGGCCCUUCUGUGUCUGUGCACCCAGAGCUCACCUGCAGCAGCUCCUCCAGCAGAUUCACACGCUGCAGAUCUGUUAAUGUCCCGCUGGCAAACUGGGCCCGCAUUGCUGCACCACUCGCACAGCUCCUCGCUGGACCAGAACCAACCGCAAAAUGAGGCAGGCAGGUUCAGCGCUGACCCACUGCCCCUGCCCCACCCCAGGGCCUCUGUGAGGUCAUCACAUCAUUGUGACAUCACCCGCACAGGAGGGUCCUGGAAGAUCAUAGAACUGCAGGACGGCGUGGCUUGGGAGGUUCCUUAGUGAUCACAGAACCAUAGAAUGGUUUGUGUUGGAAGAGUCCUGGAAGAUGAUAGAACCACAGGAUGGUGUGGCUUGGAAGGGUCCUGGAAGAUCAUAGAAUCACAGAAUGGUUCUUUGAAACAGCUGUGAAGGAUCUGUGAGCAAAUCCGCCGUCAGUAGUUGGUGCCGCGGGAAGGCCUGAGGUCCGACCUUUCCUCCAACGGCUUCAGUGUAACUUUGGAAAGACAGUGCUCACACCUGGUUUGUUCUAUCUGCCAGGACGUCACUCAGCUGCGUUGCGACGGCGACGGCGCGCCCUCAUUCAUGGCACGGCGUACAGCCGUCCGCGUGACGACGGCGCACGCGUGGCUGUGUAUCCAUAACAGCCGCGCUUCAGCGCGGCUGUCCCCUUUGGAUGCUGCCAUGGCGCGUCGUCCCACGCUGUGACGUCAUCGCCUUGCGCCCGGGUGAGGCGGCGGCCUCGAGGUUGUCCUGCUGUGCUCCGCAGUGCUCCAACGCCGCGGGGCGGCUCCGGGCGCCGCCUCAGCUUCUACAGGAGAGACGUUGUGGGUGAGACAGAGGGAACAUCAAAUGAGAAACUGGGAAGAGAUAUGAAGUAGCGGGACCAGUUUUUCUAAAUGGUUAUCAAGUUUCUCAACAGAAAGCUCAACUGAUCAAAGAGAAGGAAGGAAGCAAUUUGCUGGGCUCCCAGGACACCAACGCAGAGCUACCUUCGAGCCGGCACUGUGUGACUGCAUGGAGACUGUCUGUGCCAGUGGGCCAGACCUAAAGAAGGAACUACCAGAUGAUGCUGAGGAUUCCUGCAUUCAUCGACAGAAGCAGUUUAGUGAGACAAAGGAACCGUAAGGCAGGAUAUGCAGUAACUGCUACUGAGCAGGUAAUCAGAGUACAACCGUUACCUGUAGGGACUUCCACUAAGAGGUCUAAAAUAGCCUUAAACGUAUGGACAGAUGCUAAAUAUGCAUUUGGGGUGGCACACACUUAUGGUACCAUCUGGAAAGAGCAAGGAGUGCUCACACACAGGGAAAACAAAUUGAGCACGGUGUAUAUCUACCAAAGAGCGUGGCUGUUAUACACUGUGAUGGACAUCAGAAAGGUGACACUGUCCAGGAAACUGGAAAUAUGAUAGGGAUCAGGUGGCAAAACAGGCAGUUGAAGGAAAAGAGAUAGCAGAACUGGCUUUAAUUCCAGAUGGUAAACUUCAAAUCUCUGAACCUGAGUCAGCCUGUGGAGCAUUUUAGAGGGGACGGGAAUCUAAUUAAUGAUUUAGAAGGGAAGAGAGCUAGCUGACAGAUGGGUGCGUACCCAGAUGGACACGCUGUUGUGCCCUUUAGUACUUUAUGGAAGUUGGUUCUAAGGGAACCUAUUGAAACAUACUGAGGGGACAAACAGUAGAAAGUAAUUGCGCAAUCUAGUACCAGGAACAGGGUACAAGUGGGGCCUAUUAGGAAAGGGAACCUUCCAGGGCAACAAUGGCAAAUUGUUUUUUGUUUGGAACUACCAGGAAAAAAGGAGGGUUUUGUUAUAUGCUAGUUGAAACCAAUACCUUUCCAGGGUGGCCAGAAGCAUUCCCUCUGCAAAGCCAAAGAAGUAGCCGAGGUAUUGUUGCAGGAGAUUAUUCCAAGGUUUGGGGUUAGUGCAACAAUAUCCUCCAACCAGGGAGCUCCCUUGAUUGUAAAGAUUGUCCAACAGGGCAGAAAUAGC